rnacentral:rRNA from 1 species
GACGAACGCUGGCGGCGUGCUUAACACAUGCAAGUCGAACGGAGUGGCGAGCGGGUGAGUAACACGUGGGUGACCUGCCCUGCACUUCGGGAUAAGCCUGGGAAACUGGGUCUAAUACCGGAUAGUGUGGGAUGGGCCCGCGGCCUAUCAGCUUGUUGGUGGGGUAAUGGCCUACCAAGGCGGCGACGGGUAGCCGGCCUGAGGAGGGGGACGGCCACCAGGGGCCUGAGACACGGCCCAGACUGCUACGGGAGGCAGCAGUCGGGAAUAUUGCACAGUCGGCGGAAGCCUGAUGCAGCGACGCUGCGUGGGGGAUGACGGCCUUCUGGUUGUAAACGCCUUUCACCAUAUACGCGGUAGAUGGAGAAGAAGCACCGGCUAACUACGUGCCAGCAGCCGCGGUAAUUC